UCAAGUGUCUUAAGGGCAUUUGGUGGAUGCCUUGGCGACUAGAGGCGAUGAAAGACGUGAUACGCUGCGAUAAGCGUCGGGGAGCUGCGAAUAAGCUUUGAUCCGGCGAUUUCUGAAUGGGGCAACCCACACCUUUAUGGUGUACCCGCAAGGGGGCAAACCCGGGGAACUGAAACAUCUAAGUACCCGGAGGAAAGGACAUCAACCGAGACUCCGCUAGUAGUGGCGAGCGAACGCGGACCAGGCCAGUGGUCAUAUUUUAAGAACCGGAACAAGUUGGGAAACUUGGCCUUAGUGGGUGAUAGCCCCGUACGGGUAGAAAGAGAUAUGAUCCUUGAGUAGGGCGGGACACGUGAAAUCCUGUCUGAACAUGGGGGGACCACCCUCCAAGCCUAAGUACUCCUAGUCGACCGAUAGCGCACCAGUACCGUGAGGGAAAGGUGAAAAGUACCCCGACGAGGGGAGUGAAAUAGUACCUGAAACCGAAUGCUUACAAACAGUUGGAGCCCGUAAGGGUGACAGCGUACCUUUUGUAUAAUGGGUCAGCGACUUAAUUUAACGAGCAAGCUUAAGCCGAUAGGUGUAGGCGUAGCGAAAGCGAGUCUUAAUAGGGCGUUUUAGUUCGUUGGAUUAGACCCGAAACCGAGUGAUCUAGCCAUGAGCAGGUUGAAGGUGCGGUAACACGCACUGGAGGACCGAACCCACGAAUGUUGAAAAAUUCGGGGAUGACUUGUGGCUAGGGGUGAAAGGCCAAUCAAACUCGGAAAUAGCUGGUUCUCCGCGAAAUCUAUUUAGGUAGAGCGUCCUGUGAAUACUCCUGGGGGUAGAGCACUGGAUGGGCUAUGGGGGCUCACCGCCUUACUGAUCCUAACCAAACUCCGAAUACCAGGAAGUACUGCAGGGCAGACACACAGUGGGUGCUAACGUCCAUUGUGGAGAGGGAAACAACCCUGACCGCCAGUUAAGGUCCCUAAGUUAUGGCUAAGUGGGAAAGGAUGUAGAGAUCCCAAAACAACCAGGAUGUUGGCUUAGAAGCAGCCAUCAUUUAAAGAAAGCGUAACAGCUCACUGGUCUAAAUAAGGGUCUCCGCGCCGAAAAUGUACCGGGGCUAAAGCCAUACACCGAAACUGCGGGUGCGUCUUAUGACGCGCGGUAGCGGAGCGUUCUGUAAGCUGAUGAAGGUGGACCCGUGAGGGCUGCUGGAGGUAUCAGAAGUGCGAAUGCUGACAUGAGUAACGAUAAAGAGGGUGAGAGACCCUCUCGCCGAAAGUCCAAGGGUUCCUGCGCAACGCUAAUCGGCGCAGGGUUAGCCGGCCCCUAAGGCGAGGCCGAAAGGCGUAGUCGAUGGGAACGGGGUUAAUAUUCCCCGGCCAGUGGGUAGUGACGGAUGCCGUGUAUCGUAUCUCCUUAUUGGAUUGGAGAUGCGGUGAAGUGUUCCUGGAAAUAGCUCCCACGCUAAGACCGUACCCGAAACCGACACAGGUGGACAGGUAGAGUAUACCAAGGCGCUUGAGAGAACUGUGCUGAAGGAACUCGGCAAAUUGCUCCCGUAAGUUCGCGAGAAGGGAGCCCGGUACGAAGGCAACUUUGUAUCGGGGGCACAGAAUAGGGGGUUGCGACUGUUUAUCAAAAACACAGGGCUCUGCGAAGCCGCAAGGCGACGUAUAGGGUCUGACGCCUGCCCGGUGCUGGAAGGUUAAGAGGAGGUGUGCAAGCACCGAAUUGAAGCCCCAGUAAACGGCGGCCGUAACUAUAACGGUCCUAAGGUAGCGAAAUUCCUUGUCGGGUAAGUUCCGACCUGCACGAAUGGCGUAACGACUUCCCCGCUGUCUCCAGCACAGACUCAGUGAAAUUGAAUUCCCCGUGAAGAUGCGGG
rnacentral:rRNA from 1 species